rnacentral:lncRNA from 1 species
AUUCCCAAACUAGCAAACUGGAAUCACCUGAUUUGAAAGUGGGAAAACUUCUUCAUCCCAACUCCUAUGAGAUUUAUUCAACUUCCUGGUGAUUCUCCACCACUUUAUGUAUCCAAAUCAAGAUUCUUACAAAGUGAUUCAUCCUGGUUUGAUUGGAAUGAUGAAGAAGCUGUCCUAUUCCCAAACUGCAAAACUGGAAUCACCUGAUUUGAAAGUGGGAUAACUUCUUCAUCCCAACUCCUAUGCGAUUUAUUCAACUUCCUGGUAAUUCUCCAACACUUUAUGUAUCCAAAUCAAGCUUCUUACAAACUUAUUCAUCCUGGUUUGAUUGCAACGACUAAGAAGCUGUCCUAUUCCCAAACUGCGAAACUGGAAAUACCUGAUUUGAAAGUGGGAUAACUUCUUAAUCCCAGCUCCUAUGUGAUUUAUUCAACUUCCUGGUGGUUCUCCACCACUUUAUGUAUCCAAAUCAAGAUUCUUACAAAGUGAUUCAUCCUGGUUUGAUUGGAAUGAUGAAGAAGCUGUCCUAUUCCCAAACUGCAAAACUGGAAUCACCUGAUUUGAAAGUGGGAUAACUUCUUCAUCCCAACUCCUAUGCGGUUUAUUCAACUUCCUGGUAAUUCUCCAACACUCUAUGUAUCCAAAUCAAGCUUCUUACAAACUUAUUCAUCCUGGUUUGAUUGCAACGACUAAGAAGCUGUCCUAUUCCCAAACUGCGAAACUGGAAAUACCUGAUUUGAAAGUGGGAUAACUUCUUAAUCCCAGCUCCUAUGUGAUUUAUUCAACUUCCUGGUGGUUCUCCACCACUUUAUGUAUCCAAAUCAAGAUUCUUACAAAGUGAUUCAUCCUGGUUUGAUUGGAACGACGAAGAAGAUGUCCUAUUCUCUAACUGGAAAACUGGAAUCACCUGAUUUGAAAAUGGGAUAACUUCUUCAUCCCAACUCCUAUGAGAUUUAUUCAACUUCCUGGUGAUUCUCCAAUACUUUAUGUAUCCAAAUCAAGCUUCUUACAAAGUGAUUCAUCUUGGUUUGAUUGAAACGACUAAGAAGCUGUCCUAUUACCAAACUGCGAAACUGAUAUCACCUGAUUUGAAAGUUGGAUAACUUCUUCAUCCCAACUCCUAUGAGAUUUAUUCAACUUCCUGGUGAUUAUCCACCACUUUAUGUAUCCAAAUCAAUAUUCUUACAAAGUGAUUCAUCCUGGUUUGUUUGCAACGACUAAGAAGCUGUCCAAUUUUCAAACUGCAAAACUGGUGUCACCUUAUUUGAAAGUGGGAUAACUUCUUCAUCCCAACUCCUAUAAGAUUAAUUCAACCACCACUUUAUAUAUCCAAAUCAAGAUUCUUACAAAGUGAUUUAUCCUGGUUUGAUUGGAACGACGAAGAAGAUGUCAUAUUCCCAAACUGGGAAACUGGAAUCACCUGAUUUGAAAGUGGGAUAACUUCUUCAUCCCAGCUCUUAUGAGAUUUAUUCAACUUCCUCGUGAUUCUCCAACACUUUAUGAAUCUAAAUCAGGCUUCUUACAAAGUGAUUCAUCCUGGUUUGAUUGGAACGACGAAGAAGCUGUCCUAUUCCCAAACUGCGAAACUCGAAUCACCUGAUUUGAAAGUGGGAUAACUUCUUCAUCCCUGCUCCUAUGAGAUUUAUUCAACUUCCUGGUGAUUAUCCAACACUUUAUGUAUCCAAUUCAAGCUUCUUACAAAGUGAUUCAUCCUGGUUUGAUUGGAACGACGAAGAAGAUGUCCUAUUCCCAAACUAGCAAACUGGAAUCACCUGAUUUGAAAAAGUGGGAUAACUUCUUUAUCCUAAGUCCUAUGAGUUUUAUUCAAAUUCCUGGUGAUUCUCCACCAAUUUAUGUAUCCAAAUCAAGAUUCAUACAAAGUUGUUCAUCCUGGUUUGAUUGGAAUGAUGAAGAAGCUGUCCUAUUCCCAAACUGCAAAACUGGAAUAUCACCUGAUUUGAAAGUGGGAUAACUUCUUCAUCCCAACUCCUAUGCGAUUUAUUCAACUUCCUUGUUAUUCUCCAACACUUUAUGUAUCCAAAUCAAGCUUCUUACAAACUUAUUUAUCCUGGUUUGAUUGCAACGACUAAGAAGCUGUCCUAUUCCCAAACUGUGAAACUGGAAAUACCUGAUUUGAAUGUGGGAUAACUUUUUCAUCCCAGCUCCUAUGUGAUUUAUUCAACUUCCUGGUGGUUCUCCACCACUUUAUGUAUCCAAAUCAAGAUUCUUACUAAGUGAUUCAUCCUGGUUUGAUUGGAACGACGAAGAAGCUGUCCUAUUCCCAAACUGCGAAGCUGGAAUCACCUGAUUUGAAAGUGGGAUAACUUCUACAUCCCAGCUCUUAUGAGAUUUAUUCAACUUCCUAGUGAUUCUCCACCACUUUAUGUAUCCAAAUCAAGCUUGUUAGAAACUGUAUUCAACUUCCUAGUGAUUCUCCACCACUUUAUGUAUCCAAAUCAAGCUUCUUACAAAGUGAUUAAUCCUGGCUUGAUUGGAACGACAAAGAAGCUGUCCUAUUCCCAAACUGCGAAGCUGGAAUCACCUGAUUUGAAAGUGGGAUAACUUCUUCAUCCCAGCUCUUAUGAGAUUUAUUCAACUUCCUAGUGAUUCUCCAAAACUUUAUGUAUCUAAAUCAGGCUUCUUACAAAAUGAUUCAUCCUGGUUUGAUUGGAACAACGAAGAUACUGUCCUAUUCCCAAACUGUGAAACUGGAAUCACCUGAUUUGAAUGUGGGAUAACUUCUUCAUCCCUGCUCCUAUGAGAUUUAUUCAACUUCCUGGUGAUUAUCCAACACUUUAUGUAUCCAAAUCAAGCUUCUUACAAAGUGAUUCAUCCUGGUUUAAUUGGAACGACGAAGAAGAUGUCCUAUUCCCAAACUGGGAAACUAGAAUCACCUGAUUUGAAAGUGGGAUAACUUCUUCAUCCCAACUCCGUGGAAUCACUUGAUUUGAAAGUGGGAUAACUUCUUUAUCCUAAGUCCUAUGAGAUUUAUUCAAAUUCCUGGUGAUUCUUCACCAAUUUAUGUAUCCAAAUCAAGAUUCUUACAAAGUUAUUCAUCCUGGUUUGAUUGGAAUGAUGAAGAAGUUGUUCUAUUCUCAAACUGCAAAACUGGAAUCACCUGAUUUGAAAGUGGGGUAACUUCUUCAUCCCAACUCCUAUGCGGUUUAUUCAACUUCCUGGUAAUUCUCCAACACUUUAUGUAUCCAAAUCAAGCUUCUUACAAACUUAUUCAUCCUGGUUUGAUUGCAACGACUAAGAAGCUGUCCUAUUCCCAAACUGCGAAACUGGAAAUACCUGAUUUGAAAGUGGGAUAACUUCUUCAUCCCAGCUCCUAUGUGAUUUAUUCAACUUCCUGGUGGUUCUCCACCACUUUAUGUAUCCAAAUCAAGAUUCUUACAAAGUGAUUCAUCCUGGUUUGAUUGGAACGACGAAGAAGCUGUCCUAUUCCCAAACUGGGAAACUGCAAUCUCAUGAUUUAAAAGUGGGAUAACUUCUUCUUGCCAACUCCUAUGAGGUUUAUUCAAGUUCCUGGUGAUUCUCCACCACUUUAUGUAUCCAAAUCAAGAUUCUCACAAAGUGAUUCAUCCUUGUUUGAUUGGAACGAUGAAGAAGCUGUGCUAUUCCCAAACUAGGAAACUGGAAUCACCUUAUUUGAAAGUGGGAUAACUUCUUCAUCCCAACUCCUAUGAGAUUUAUUCAACUUGCUGGUGAUUCUCCACCACUUUAUGUAUCCAAUUCAAGCUUCUCACAAAGUGAUUCAUCCUGGUUUGAUUGGAACGACGAAGAAGCUGUCCUAUUCCCAAACUGGGAAACUGGAAUCACCUUAAUUGAAAGUGGGAUAACUUCUUCAUCCCAACUCCUAUGAGAUUUAUUCAACUUCCUGGUGAUUCUCCACCAUUUUAUGUAUCGAAAUCAAGCUUCUGACAAAGUGAUUCAUCCUGGUUUUAUUGGAACGACGAAGAAGCUGUUCCCAAACUGGGAAUCUGGAAUCACAUGAUUUGAAAGUGGGAUAACUUCUUCAUCCCAACUCUUAUGAGAUUUAUUCAACUUCCUGAUGAUUCUCCACCACUUUAUGUAUCCAAAUCAAACUUCUCAUAAAGUAUUUCAUCCUGGUUUGAUUGGAACGACGAAGAAGCUGUGAUAUUCCACAACUGGGAAACUGGAAUCACCUGAUUUGAAAGUGGGAUAACUUCUUCAUCCCAACUCCUAUGAGAUUUAUUCAACUUGCUGGUGAUUCUCCACCACUUUAUGUAUCCAAAUCAAGCUUCUGACAAAGUGAUUAAUCCUAUUUUGAUUGGAACGACGAAGAAGCUGUGCUAUUCACAAACUGGGAAACUGGAAUCACUUUAAUUGAAAGUGGGAUAACUUCUUCAUCCCAACUCCUAUGAGAUUUAUUCAACUUCCUGGUGAUUCUCGACCACUUUAUCAAUCCAAUUCAAGCUUCUCACAAAGUGAUUCAUCCUGGUUUGCAUGGAACGACGAAGAAGCUGUCCUAUUCCCAAACUGGGAAACUGGAAUCACCUUAUUUGAAAGUGGGAAAACUUCUUCAUCCCAACUCCUAUGAGCUUUAUUCAAGUUCCUGGUGAUUCUCCACCACUUUAUGUAUCCAAAUCAAGCUUCACACAAAGUGAUUCUUCCUGGUUUGAUUGGAACGGAAGAAGCCGUGCUAUUCCCAAACUGGGAAACUGGAAUCACAUGAUUUGAAAGUGGGAUAACUUCUUGUUGCCAACUCCUAUGAGGUUUAUUCAAGUUCCUGGUGAUUCUCAACCACUUUAUGUAUGCAAAUCAAGCUUCUCACAAAUUGAUUCAUCCUUGUUUGAUUGGAACGACGAAGAAGCUGUGCUAUUCCCAAACUGGGAAACUGGAUUCACCUGAUUUGAAAGUGGGAUAACUUGUUCAUCCCAACUACUAUGAGAUUUAUUCAACUUCCAGGUGAUUCUCCACCACUUUAUGUAUCCAAAUAAAGCUUCUCACAAAGUGAUUCAUCCUGGUUUGAUUGGAACAACGAAGAAGCUGUCUUAUUCCCAAACUGGGAAACUGGAAUCACCUGAUUUGAAAGUGGGAUAACUUCUUCAUCCCAACUCCUAUGAGAUUUAUUCAACUUCAUGGUGAUUCUCCACCACUUUAUGUAUCGAAAUCAAGCUUCUGACAAUGUGAUUCAUCCUGGUUUGAUUGGAACGACGAAGAAGAUGUGCUAUUCCCAAACUGGGAAUCUGGAAUCACAUGAUUUGAAAGUGGGAUAACUUUUUCUUGCCAACUCCUAUGAGGUUUAUUCAAGUUCCUGGUGAUUCUCCACCACUUUAUGUAUCCAAAUAAAGCUUCUGACAAAGUGAUUAAUCCUGGUUUGAUUGGAACGACGAAGAAGCUCUGCUAUUACCAAACUGGGAAACUGGAAUCACAUGAUUUGAAAGUUGGAUAACUUCUUCUUGCGAACUCCUAUGAGAUUUAUUCAACUUCCUGGUGAUUAUCCACCACUUUAUGUAUCCAAUUCAAGCUUCUCACAAAGUGAUUCAUCCUGGUUUGAUUGGAACGACGAAGAAGCUGUGCUAUUCCCAAACAGGGAAACUGGAAUCACAUGAUUUGAAAGUUGGAUAACUUCUUCUUGCGAACUCCUAUGAGAUUUAUUCAACUUGCUGGUGAUUCUCCACCACUUUAUGUAUCGAAAUCAAGCUUCUGACAAAGUGAUUCAUCUUGGUUUGAUUGGAACGACGAAGAAGCUGUGCUAUUCCCAAACUGGGAAACUGGAAUCACCUGAUUUCAAAGUGGGAUAACUUCUUCAUCCCAACUCCUAUGAGAUUUAUUCAACUUCCUGGUGAUUCUCCACCACUUUAUGUAUCCAAUUCAAGCUUCUCACAAAGUGACUCAUCCUGGUUUGAUUAGAACGACGAAGCUGUCCUAUUCCCAAACUGGGAAACUGGAAUCACUUUAAUUGAAAGUGGGAUAACUUCUUCAUCCCAACUCCUAUGAGAUUUAAUCAACUUCCUGGUGAUUCUCCACCACUUUAUGUAUCGAAAUCAAGCUUCUGACAAAGUGAUUAAUCCUAGUUUAAUUAGAAUGACGAGGAAGUUAUCAUAUUCCCAUACAGGAAAACUGGAAUCACCUGAUUUGAAAGUGGGAUAACUUCUUCGAAUCUGGAAUCACAUGAUUUGAAAGUGGGAUAACUUAUUCUUGCCAAUUCCUAUGAGGUUUAUUCAAGUUCCUGGUGAUUCUCCACCACUUUAUGUAUUCAAAUCAAGCUUCUCACAAAGUGAUUCAUCCUGGUUUGAUUGGAACGACGAAGAAGCUGUGCUAUUCCCAAACAGGGAAACUGGAAUCACAUGAUUUGAAAGUGGGAUAACUUCUUCUUGCCAACUCCUUUGAGGUUUAUUCAAGUUCCUGGUGAUUCUCCACCACUUUAUGUAUCGAAAUCAAGAUUCUCACAAAGUGAUUCAUCUUUGUUUGAUUGGAACGACGAAGAAGCUGUGCUAUUCCCAAACUGGGAAACUAGAAUCACCUGAUUUGAAAGUCGGAUAACUUCUUCAUCCUGAAGGACGAGGAAGUUAUCAUAUUCCCAAACAUGAAAACUAGAAUCACCUGAUUUGAAAGUGGGAUAACU